rnacentral:rRNA from 1 species
UACGAAGGGUGCAAGCGUUAAUCGGAAUUACUGGGCGUAAAGGGUGCGUAGGCGGUUCGUUAAGUCUGUCGUGAAAUCCCCGGGCUCAACCUGGGAAUGGCAGUGGAAACUAGGGGACUGGAAUCUGGCAGAGGGGGGUGGAAUGCCGCGUGUAGCAGUGAAAUGCGUAGAGAUGCGGCGGAACACCGAUGGCGAAGGCAGCCCCCUGGGCUGAGAUUGACGCUCAGGCACGAAAGCGUGGGGAGCAAACAGG